AGUGAACGCUGGCGGCAGGCCUAAUACAUGCAAGUCGAACGGCAGCACAGUGGAGCUUGCUCCAUGGGUGGCGAGUGGCGGACGGGUGAGGAAUACAUGGGAAUCUGCCCAGUCGUGGGGAUAACGUAUGGAAACGUACGCUAAUACCGCAUGCGCCCUUCGGGGGAAAGUCGGGGACCGCAAGGCCUGACGCGAUUGGAUGAGCCCAUGUUCGAUUAGCUAGUUGGCGGGUAACGGCCCACCAAGGCGACGAUCGAUAGCUGGUCUGAGAGGAUGAUCAGCCACACUGGAACUGAGACACGGUCCAGACUCCUACGGGAGGCAGCAGUAGGGAAUAUUGGACAAUGGGCGCAAGCCGGAUCCAGCCAUGCCGCGUGAGUGAAGAAGGCCCUCGGGUUGUAAAGCU
rnacentral:rRNA from 1 species